UAACAUAUCUGAGUCAGAUCCUUAUAUAGCUAUGAUAGACCCACACCUAACUGCUCAAAUCACCCGUUAUCGUAGGUCCGGUAACAUUAUCUAGUUUUCAAGAGAGAGUUUCCAGUUGGAUCUAUGUAAUACUAUAAU
rfam:Populus trichocarpa scaffold_19_contig_466, whole genome shotgun sequence.